rnacentral:lncRNA from 13 species
AACUGUCGGAUUCUUUGGCAAAAGAAAGAUUUUGGUUUGGAAGCUAUGAACUCAUCGAGCCAUUUUAGUAUUUCUGCUACAUCUCGAAAGCAUUACCCUGUCAAGGAGUGCAUUGAUUAGGAUAGAUGAUAAUUCGAAGGCGCCAAGUCAGGAGAGUACGCCGCGUGCAAAAGAACUUUUCAGCCCAAGUUAAUGGUAGUUUGAUGAAUGACCUGAGCAAUGUGCGACCUAGCGUUGUGGUGUAACAAAACAAUUUUCCCCUGCGCGUUGCCUUGAGCUGUUGCUUGAUCAACUCUGAGAGAUGAUCUUCGUUUGGACACAACUCGAUUUAACAUGCAUGAUUGGACAAGCAAGAUUGGACACCGCAUUAUUGGACACCAUAUUAUUAGGCACGCAUUAUUGUACACCGCAUUAUAGAAUAUACAUUAUCGAACACACUCAUGUCAAAAUUUACCGUAUUUAAAGCAAUAAAAUUAAUAUUU